rnacentral:hammerhead_ribozyme from 1 species
AUCUAGCUGAUGAGUCCCAAAUAGAACGAAACACGCGUCAAACUGGAU